GUUGUCUGAAGCCUAUGUUCCUGAAACAUUUUAAAUCCAGCCAAAGCAGUCUGGACAAUAGCUGGGCCUGAUCAGCCCAGCCCACUUUCACCUGUAUACCUGGCUCUCCAGCAAGUUUGAUCUCUCGAUUGUUUCUACAAACACUCUUCAACUUCACAGCUAAGGAGGUGAUUGACAUUCUUUGUUAUUAGUUCAUGCAUCUGCAGACACCCAAUACAACUGUCACACAGAAAGUCAAAACCUUAUAAGUGGUAAGAAUUUCCUGAUGCUGAUGGAUUCUUGCUUGGAAGGCCACUUCUCAAAUGAUGAUGGAACUGAGUUGGUGCGAUCAGCUUCUCGUUGCUUGCAAUAUGAACCUCGUGAGAGGCCAAAUGCAAAGAUGCUUGUGACUGCCCUUACUUCUCUUAUCAUGCAACACUUUCACAGGUACU